rnacentral:tRNA from 1 species
GCAGGGGUCGCGGAGCUUGGUCAAACGCGCGAGGUUCAGGGCCUCGUCCCUUAGGGGUUCGUGAGUUCAAAUCUCACCCCCUGCA